GACGAACGCUGGCGGCGUGCUUAACACAUGCAAGUCGAACGAAGUGGAGAACGGGUGAGUAACGCGUAAUCAACCUGCCCUUCAGGGGGGGACACCAGUUGGAAACGACUGCAAAUACCGAAUAGGGAAUGAGGGGAUUGCGUCGGAUUAGCUAGUGGGGGGGGUAACGGCCAACCAAGGCGAUGAUCAGUAGCCGGUCUGAGAGGAUGAACGGCCACAUUGGGACUGAGACACGGCCCAGACUCCUACGGGAGGCAGCAGUGGGGAAUCUUCCGCAAUGGACGAAAGUCUGACGGCGCAACGCCGCGGGAGUGAUGACGGCCUUCGGGGUGUAAAGCUCUGUUAAGCGGGACGCGGUACCGGAAUAGAAAGCCACGGCUAACUACGUGCCAGCAGCCGCGGUAAUUC
rnacentral:rRNA from 1 species